UCGAACUCAGAAAUCUGCAUGCCUCUGCCUCCCAACAUGCUGGGAUUAAAGGCCUGCCCCACCACGGCCCGGCCCCGACAGGACCUUUAAAUUUCGCUUUGUUGCUGUUGCUUUGUAUUCAGCUUGUAAUACCUUUUCAAAUAAAAUCCUCAUCUUCGAGUCCUAGUUUCCUCAGUAUCUGAAACCCGGUCACUGUAUGGAGUCUGAAGUUUGAUUUGUAGAUGGAGUUCGGUCACAUCUUUGCAAGUUUGAGGUAAAGCUAAACUGAGAGACAUGUUUUUAUAAAAUAAACUAUCACAAUCCUUGGUUCUGUGCGCCUCAGUAAAUGUUGGGGGAGUUGAGUCGGCGUUAAGUGCUGCCUGGCAAACAGGGCUUCCUUCAGAAAGGUGGACACAGAGAUGUCUCCUGGCCCUCUGGCUACCGCUCCGCCGCAGUCGCUGUGUUAGCUGAGGCUCAGCCCUGCGCGCAGGCGCGGAUCCUGGGGCAGGCUCCGAGCCCGGGUGGGGCUGCGGGAAGGAAGCUCCGCCUCGCGGGAGAACGCGGGGCCUAUGAAGUGGGGCGGGGGGCGGGCCGGAGGGCGGAAGGAGCCACUUCACGUGAGCAGGGGGCUGGGCAGCAGGGAGGCCCAGGCGGCGGAGCCUCCCUGACGGCGCUCGGCGGCAGCAGGUCCGGUACAGUCGCCGUUCCCCUCCUUUCACCCUGCUCUCCUUUCCCCGGAGGCGGGGGUCCUCCCGCCGCCCCAGUUAGAAUCCGGCUGCCUUCUCUCCCCGCCGGGCGGGGUCAGGCCGGGGAUGGCGGGGGGCUCUCUCGACCGACCGAGCCCUGAGGGGAGCGGAGAUUGGGUGUGGGGGAGCGGCCACGGAGGGCAGAUGGCGCACGCGCGGGCCCUACCCCGCCACCCCCCAACCCCCAGGAACCCCUGCCCAAACCGGUUCCCCCUGUCUGGGUGGGUGUCUGUCUCCCAAGUCUUGCUACUGCUGCUCCCUUGUGCGCGAUCUCUCCCCUCCCAACAAAGCCGGUUUCUCUUCACUCUUGUGUUUUUGUCUUGGUCUUGUUUGGAGACCUGCCGUUGUCCUCUGCCUCAGUUUCUCCGGUUGCCCACUGUGUCGGUGUGUAUGUGACUGAUUGUUGCCUUGGGCCUCGGGCUGGCCUCCCUGGAUGCGCCUAAUUUGAAAGACUUUCAGCGUCGCUCUGCUUUCUCUUACUGGUAUUUUCUCCCUCAUUCUCUCCACCUGCGUUUAAAGUGUCUCCUCUGGCAUCGCACUCUUUCUGUCUAAAAGAAACACCUGCCUGUUCCUGCCUUGUGUCUUGAUUUUCAGCACCCUUCAGGGUUACGUGAGUCAGUCCAAAAGCUUUCUCCGACCUUCCAGGGGUGCGCUGUCCAUCCCCUGAUGGUAGUCAGGUUCCUUGUCUUUACUAAUACCUACAUUUGUGGUCUGCACCUGCUUUUACAACUAUACUCAAUACCUGUGGUGCCCUAAGGAUCCAUUUAUCUCGGAAGCAAGUGUCCUAAGCAGACUUAAACUCAUGACCAUGCUUGUAGCGCUCCUUUUAAAAACUGCUCCAACUUGAAUUUGAGAUUGGAGGACAAGGUGGGGACGGUCAGCGGGGUAUGGUCCCCCUACCACGGGAGAAGAAUAUCAGGGACAGAAGAAUAUCAAUACAGAGUUCGCAUUGUAUUUACUAUUUUCAUUUAGAUCAAUACCUGUAUUUACAUUCUUGUGAAUAGAGCGUGAUGUAAGUAUGUGGGCUUCCAGCUACUUUGUUUAUUUAGGCAGAGAAACAAUGGAUGAUAGUGAAAUUGUCAAACUGAAAAGUCUUUGGAAAAAAAGCGCUGGUGCCAAAGAAGUGCAUGUAUAACUUUUUAAUGAAAGCAAAGGACCUGUUGUAUUAAUCCAUAUCUUUUCAUAAUACUGUAGUUUAUAUUGUAUGUUGAAGAUUUAGCCAAAGCUUAAAUAGGAAAUGAGAAUGAACAAAGAAUAGGAUUUAUGAUCUUCCUUAACGGUCAGAAUUUGAAUUAAAAUUUGAAUGAUUAAUUUGUAUGUAUGUACAUUUUAAUUUACAUGCCAUGCUCACCAGCUGAAGUAGGAGGAUCAUGAGUUCAUGGCUGGCCUGGACCACAUAGCUAGACCCUGUCUCAAAGAACAACCACC
rnacentral:lncRNA from 1 species